rnacentral:rRNA from 1 species
CGGGACGGGUGAGUAACGCGUGGGUAACCUGCCUCACACUGGGGGAGUAACAGUUAGAAAUAGCUGCUAAUACCGCAUAAGCGCACAGUUCCGCAUGGAACAGUGUGAAAAACUCCGGUGGUGUGAGAUGGACCCGCGUCUGAUUAGCCAGUUGGCGGGGUAACGGCCCACCAAAGCGACGAUCAGUAGCCGGCCUGAGAGGGUGAACGGCCACAUUGGGACUGAGACACGGCCCAA